rnacentral:rRNA from 1 species
AGUCGAGCGAACUGACGAGGAGCUUGCUCCUUUGACGUUAGCGGCGGACGGGUGAGUAACACGUGGGUAACCUACCUAUAAGACUGGAAUAACUCCGGGAAACCGGGGCUAAUGCCGGAUAACAUGUUGAACCGCAUGGUUCAACAUUGAAAGGCGGUUUUGCUGUCACUUAUAGAUGGACCUGCGCCGUAUUAGCUAGUUGGUAAGGUAAUGGCUUACCAAGGCGACGAUACGUAGCCGACCUGAGAGGGUGAUCGGCCACACUGGAACUGAGACACGGUCCAGACUCCUACGGGAGGCAGCAGUAGGGAAUCUUCCGCAAUGGACGAAAGUCUGACGGAGCAACGCCGCGUGAGUGAUGAAGGUUUUCGGAUCGUAAAGCUCUGUUAUUAGGGAAGAACAAGUGCGUAGGUAACUAUGCGCACCUUGACGGUACCUAAUCAGAAAGCCACGGCUAACUACGUGCCAGCAGCCGCGGUAAUACGUAGGUGGCAAGCGUUAUCCGGAAUUAUUGGGCGUAAAGCGCGCGUAGGCGGUUUCUUAAGUCUGAUGUGAAAGCCCACGGCUCAACCGUGGAUGGUCAUUGGAAACUGGGGAACUUGAGUGCAGAAGAGGAAAGUGGAAUUCCAUGUGUAGCGGUGAAAUGCGCAGAGAUAUGGAGGAACACCAGUGGCGAAGGCGACUUUCUGGUCUGUAACUGACGCUGAUGUGCGAAAGCGUGGGGAUCAAACAGGAUUAGAUACCCUGGUAGUCCACGCCGUAAACGAUGAGUGCUAAGUGUUAGGGGGUUUCCGCCCCUUAGUGCUGCAGCUAACGCAUUAAGCACUCCGCCUGGGGAGUACGAUCGCAAGAUUGAAACUCAAAGGAAUUGACGGGGACUCGCACAAGCGGUGGAGCAUGUGGUUUAAUUCGAAGCAACGCGAAGAACCUUACCAAAUCUUGACAUCCUUUGAUCGCUCUAGAGAUAGAGUUUUCCCCUUCGGGGGA